rnacentral:rRNA from 1 species
UGCCAGCCGCCGCGGUAAUACGGAGUGUGCAAGCGUUGUUCGGAAUCACUGGGCGUAAAGCGCGCGUAGGCGGCAAGAUAAGUCAGAUGUGAAAUCCCUCGGCUCAACCGAGGAACUGCAUUUGAAACUGUCUGGCUUGAGUACGGGAGAGGGAAGCGGAAUUCCCAGUGUAGAGGUGAAAUUCGUAGAUAUUGGGAGGAACACCAGCGGCGAAGGCGGCUUCCUGGACCGAUACUGACGCUGAGGCGCGAAAGCGUGGGGAGCAAACAGGAUUAGAUA